GCUGCACCCUGUUUGCACGUAUGAUCUUUGAGGACAUGGUGGUGGAUCAGCAGCCAGUCAAGGCAGCAGGAUAACAACACAGCAGAGAUCUUUAUUUCAAGAACUGGGAUCUUUUUUUUGAAGGCAAUACAUAUCUGCAACGACAACUUCUGAGUUUUCAGGCAUACCACGAGAGAGAGAUCCGGAUUUUACCACUGUGACUUGUUUUGGAGAAGAAGAAAAAAGACCUGAGGUGGAGCUGCACUGGAAUCGCAUUGCCUUCUAACGUUAGCCAGCUGGCUAACAUGCAGCUUUAGUGUUUGAAUUUGCACGAAAACAAGACUCUGGGAUAUAUCGAGCAGGAAUUUGCGUGGACUGCCACUAUCUCGACCACUUUAACAUCCAACUACUCGCAUGCAGUUAAAGUCAUGCUGGCGUUUCACCCUACAGACAUAGCCGGUUAGCUAGCUACCCCCAAAGGACCGACUCGUUUGCGCAGCUGCAAGCCGAACCCACGGCGCUUUUGGUCGGCUUGACGACCAACGCCAUGCCGCGGGUUGAAACCGGCCCAUCCCUAGAGCUAACUUCAGGAAGCUAACGCUAGCUGGAUACAGCAGGCCGCUUCAGAUGGUCGUUAUCAUUCCCAAGUCGGCUAAUUAGAUAAGUCAAAACUCAGACUCUUGAAGCACCUUUAUCUUUCAUUCUGCACGGUGCUUUCAUUUUUUUAUACGCCCAGCAGCACACGUAGCUAAUGCCGGGUAAUCUGCUAAUUAGCUAGCUAGUUCGUUAGCGAGUAAUGUAAAGCCAACGGUAGCUUAUCGGUUAGUUGUUGUUUACAGUGUGCUAGCAUGCAAAUUACAAGUUACAGUUAGCUUGGAAGCUAAGUUGGAGUGGUGCGGUAGUUAACUUUUUCCCCACUUAUUAAACUAAGGUACGUUUGUUGUGUGUGUGGAGUAAUUUGCAUUAACUAGCCACAUACACGUCAGUACAGCUAAUGUCAAAUUCACUGUGGGCAUUCAUGUUUGAUUUUAGCAUUAUCCAGGCUAACAUGACUGAGAGAUGCGCGACAUUAAAGGUUAGCUUGGAUGGGAUUAUUUAGGUUGGCACAGCCACACAUGUGAACAAGUCUGACUGCGUGCACGGUUCUGGUUAGUUAUUUCAUUGCAAGGUGUCACUACGUGUCAAUCAAGAGUAUGUGCUGUUAUCUGGACGUCAGUUGUGCGUUUUAAAGCUGUUACUUUGAACAUAUGUGCCACCAAUUAUCUUCACACAGACACUAAAAGGCAUGGGAGUCUGUGACCUCCUGGAGCAUAGCGAGACAUAUCAGCCAUUCAUUCAUGAUUGAUGACCUUUGAGGAAGCAGACUGUCCUUUAUCCAUUUUCCACUACCGCUGCUGAACACUGCACCAAGCCACUAAUAGCCUGUCUUGUAGUAUUUAUUUUUAACCACUAAUGUAGCAGCGAGGAGGGAUUUUUUUUUAGUGUUAGUUUUAGCAGUUUAAGGUCCCACUGGCGUGGAUGGGAACAUGAGGAGCUCCCUGUCUGAUCUGAACCAGCUUCCCAGUAGCUUGAAGGUCUGAUCAAAGCACAACAGAGAGCCUCAUUGUGUGGACUGAGAGCUGAAGAGGAAAGAGACGAUGAUGGGGAUGAUGAUAAAAGAGGCCCAGUGACAGCGUUGAUCUCCCCGCACCAGGAAGCAGAGGAGUGUCACAGAGGCAGCAGACAUGAGUCUCCGCCAACCCACCUCAACGCUGGACAGGCUCAGCAGUCUGACCAUCGGGGACUCGGAGCGCAAAUCCUCUGCUACCCAGCAGAGGGAGCCAAUAGUCGACUUCCCUGCUGAGAGUACGGGCACUGGUCUUGUCCAGAGAUGUGUGGUCGUGCAGAAGGACCAGCUCGGCUUUGGCUUCACAGUAUGUGGAGAGAGAGUCAAGCUAGUGCAGAAUGUCCGACCAGGUGGUGCAGCAGUCAAGGCCGGGGUCCAAGAAGGGGACCGAAUCAUAAAGGUGAACGGCUCGCUGGUGUCCUCCAUGUCCCAUCAGGAGGUGGUAAAGCUUAUCAAAUCUGGAACAUAUGUAGCUCUGACACUACAAGGGCCACCUCCUUCUGCCGCCUCCCUGCCCCUAGAGCCCCUCCCCACUGACCUCACACCCAAUCAAAGAACAUCACUGGGUGGGGAGGCCCCACCCCCUCCACCUCCACCGCUGCCCUCUGGACUGAGCAGCACCCCAUCCCAAAGAAUCACUGGACCCAAACCACUACAGGACCCAGAAGUGCAGAAACAUGCCACUCAGAUACUCAGGAAAAUGCUGGAGCAGGAAGAGGCGGAACUGCAGGAGUUGAUGGAGGAGCAGUUGAGGAACCCGUCGUCGUCACUGGGGGAACGGAUAGAAAGUGCCAAGAGGAGAGCUCACCAAGUCAGGGUCAAGAUUCAGCAAGAUCUGGAGGGAACACGAUCAGAAUGUGCCACGAGCUACGUCAUAGCAGGAGAAGGUCGACUAUCAAUGGAUUCAAGCGAGGGAGACAAUGAGGCCUUUGAGAGUCCCCACUCCUCCCCCUUAUCCUCCUUCAGGACACCACACCACCGACGGCAGAACUCCGACACACACACCCUGUCUGAUUCGGGCGGAAAGGCCCAGAUCAUCGGCCCCGAGGAAGAAGAUGAAGAAGAUGACGGCUAUGCAUUUAAUGAGAUGGACGGUCCAUUUCAGGACAUUGAGUUGUUGAAGACCCGACCGGCACACAUGGCGGUUUUCAUGAGAUAUGUCUUCACCCAGCUUCUGGACCCCAACCCUCUGCUGUUUUACCUGUCAGUGGAGGCCUACCUGGGCUCCAGCCCUAAAGACGCCCGCGCACUUGCACCUCAGAUCUGCUCCCAUUACCUGGACCCAGAUGCUCCCCUGAAAAUCAAAGUACGAGAGGAGUAUCUCACAGAUAUAGAAAGUCGACUUCACGCCCAGGAGGACAUCAGAGGACCUCUGUCUGAGCUGCAGCAGCAAGUGUUGCCAGACAUCCAAUACCAGAUACAGGACUACAGGAACAAGCAGAUGAUGGGCCUGGGCUCUCUGUUUGGAGAAGGAGACCUACAGCAGCUGGAUGGAGACCCAGUGAAAGAGAGACAGGUGGUGGACAGACAGGUCACCGCCCUCUGGGAAAUACUAUCGAAGCACGAAGAGGACAGAAGUUCUCCUCUGGCGUCAGCUGUGCAUCUAUACCUGCGUCAUUCUGGAAUCAAGCUAAGGGACUCCAAGGUCUUCCCUGGUCUGAGCACAGAGAAGGAGAAGUGGCUCGCUUUCCUAAAGACGAAAAAGCUGAGUGGUACCAAGAAAGAGAAAGAUGGAGAGGAUAAAAAGAGAAAUCCCAUCCUGAAGUACAUCGGCAAACCCCGGACCACAUCCCAGUCCACAUUCCAUGUCCCGUUGUCCCCCACUGAAGUCCGCCCUGGCAGUGUGAGGAACAUCAUUCAGCAGUUUGAGAAUCACACAGAGACAGGAGAGGAGGGAGGGGACGCUGCCGACCCCCAGAGGCUCUCCUCCAGCAGCCUGGGAGAAGACAGCAUGGACAGCCCCACGAUCUCCGUGCGUCUGGCACGCAGCGAGUCGUUGAAGGCUCAGGGAGAAGGCCGCCGCCGGGGCGUCGUCUCAGGGACGGAUUCUGUCCCUCGCUCUCGUAGCGAUGUGGACAUGGAGGACUGUGGGGAGGAGAGGGAGGGGCCAGGCCUCAGGCCGCUGCAACACAGCACGUCAUCAUCUGCAUCCAGCAGCUCUGCACGGUCUCUAGAGAACCCUACACCCCCAUACACCCCUCGGUCUAGACGCAGGAGUGUGGACUCACCGCUGGCCCUGCUGCCCGAUGCUGCGGCGCUGGAGGAAGAGGUGUGCGAUGGUCAGAACUGGCAGGACACCGUUUCCCCGCAGCUCCUCGCCACACUCAGUCCGAGGGAGGUGGACAGACAGGCCGUCAUAUAUGAGCUAUUCACCACUGAGGUGUCCCACCUGCGGACCUUGAGGGUCCUGGACCAGGUAUUUUUCCAGAAGAUGAGGUCUGUGCUGAACUCCGAUGAGCUGGCCUGCAUCUUCCCCAACCUGCCCCAAGUCUAUGAACUCCACGCAAGUCUGUGCGAAGCGAUGAAGAAGCGAAGAGAAACUCCCAUCGUUCAGGACAUCGGGGACGUUAUGCUGGCCAGGUUUGAAGGUGCAGCCGGAGACGAGUUUCAGGAACAUGCGUCGCAGCUGUGCAGCCAGCAGUCUCAGGCCGUGGAGCUGAUUAAGAACAAAAAGCGUAAAGACCCUCGCUUCGCUCACAUUAUCCAGGAGUGCGAAGCGAGUCCUCACUGUCGGAGGCUGCAGCUCAAAGACCUGCUGGUGUCAGAGAUGCAGAGACUUACCAAGUACCCCCUGCUGCUGGACAACAUCAUUAAACACACAGAGGCUGGUUCGUCGGACCUCCCCUCACUUCAGCGCGCCCAGGCUUGUUGCCGAGGGAUACUGCAGGUCGUUAACGAGGUUGUCGGUGAAACAGAACAACGGCAACGCCUCAGCCAAUACCAACGCAGGCUGGACGCUGCCCCUGUGUUCAAGAGUCUGGACCUCACCACCAAGAGAAUGAUUCAUGAAGGUCCUCUUACGUGGAAAGUCAGCAAAGACAAGCAGAUCGAGAUUCAAGCGCUGCUGCUGUCAGACUGCCUGGUCCUUCUACAGAGGGGCCCAGACGACCGGCUACAGCUAAAGUAUCCAUCCCGCUGGCUGGGUGGAGGCAGCGGAGACAGCAAGACCUCCUUCAGCCCUCUUGUGAAGCUGGACUCUCUGCUGGUCCGCUCGGUGGCUACAGACAACAGAGCCCUCUACAUCAUCAGCACCACAGAGAGGCAGAUCUAUGAGCUGGUGGCUGGGACGUCAUCAGAGAAAAACACCUGGAAAGAUUCACUUGAAAAGACCAUCUCAUCGGCUGGCGGUUCGUCACCCCUGAUCAAUCACGGAUCUAUGCCUUUAUCUAGUUCCCCCAGUCUGCGCAGUGCAUCCCCAGUGUCAACUGGCAGCAAUGUCUAUGCAGACAACUCCAUGACGGAGCAGUCAGAUUCCAUGGAGCCUCAUUCCUCCAACGACGACAUAGAGCUCUCAGCAAACACACCUACGGACCAAUCAGGAGCUUUCCUCUGUGGGGAGAGAAAACCAGUUGGUGUGGCAGAGGCCGCUUUACGAGACGUUGAAACACUAAGGCAGCUCAUAUUACGAGAUUUGGAAGAGGACGCUUGGAGCCACGACUCAGACGACACGCCCACCAACGAGACGGCAAACGAAAGGAGCUCGUUCACUGAGAGACAGCGGCCAGAGUCUCUGGAGACCGUCCUCAACUUCAGCACCAACGAAUGGGAGGCAGAGCCUGAAGAGGUCCCGCCCCCAGACGCAGAGCAACCCAGCAUUCAGGUCGUACGGAAAGCUGUGGUUGCGGGUCCUUCUUCUUCUUCCUCUGUCCCUGACGACAUCACUGCUGAUGUCACCCUCCCCUCCGACCAGUCGUCCAAGCCGAGAGGCGAGGCCACUACGCAGGGGAACACUUUCUACUUGGUAAUGCCUACAGAGCAGGGAGAGACCACCACUGAUGACCUCAAUGACCCUCCUACCCCCACCGCCAGCCACUUCCCGCAGCCUCUGGAGGAAGUGAUAUCACCACAGACGCAGCCAGAGGAGGAAACGCCCGCCUGUGGUCCAGAGUCCAGUCAAUCAGAGGCUAUGCAACCGGAACAGUUAGAGGAAACGGGCCAAUCACAGGCUGGGCACCAGAGCCACGUGAUCAAAAAUGUAGAUGAGAUUUUCCUCACGAUUGAGGGGUUAACGAGCAAGUUGCGGCAGCUGAAGGAAAUAGAAAAGUCCCAUCACAAGCUUUUGAAAACCCUCAGAGAGCCUUUUGUCAAUCAGGAGUCAGAGGACCAACAGUGUCACUUGGCAACCGUCUCUAGAACACCGUCUUUGGAUCGUGGCUCAGGAGACGGCAAAGAGGGAAGUCCAGCAGAACCCAAGAUUCAGUCGACUGGAUUCUGACAUCUGGAUUUACUCGCAGUCACUCAAUCUUGAUUGUUGGCUUACGGACGCACAUGUAUGUACCCACAGUCAGACUCGGGCACCUCAGCCCUGCCUCCCGUCGCCCCUCGUCCCUGCAUGCACUGGCCAGUAGAACAGAACCCAGGACGGACCGUAGCUGUUUUUUUUUUUUUGUUUGUUUGUUUGUUUGCUUCCUGUUGCCCUGGGAUACCAGUAAGCUGGCCGGAUUCACCAGGAUUUCUGAGGUCAGAGCAACUUCUGACUUCUACCAGAGUACGAGGGAGUCCAGGACAGAGUGAGGAAAAAGUAUGAAGGAAGAAAAAGGCAGAAGACAAGUUGGCUGACGAAGAGAAAAGGAAAAAGUAGGAAGAACUGAAAGUUGGAAAGAAAAUAACCAAGUUGGAUAUUUGUGAAGGAAAAGGAGUCGUACGUCGAGUUGCUUUAAAGAGCUGGUUGAAAAGACGGAGCAGAAAAGUGUUGAAAUGUUAAUUUAAGGAAUAAUCCGAGGGACCCAUCACCCCUGCACUUUACCCACAAUGCAUCCCUCUGUCGUGUACGUCCUCUCUGUAGUGGACAGAUCAGGGACUGGAGAUGCCACUGGCUUUAUUUAGGGGCCGACGUUAUGAGCCAAGAUGGCCUCCGGGGGUCCCCGCCCCGCCUCCACUGGUUGCUUUACACUGAGUUCACCUGCCACCACGGCCGAAGGACUGUGUCUAUAUAAUUCAGGUUAUUUGCACUGGCUGGGCAGAAUCACACGGGACUGGAUUUUAUUUGAGCUGGUUUCAAAUACUAACUGAGGAGCGCUUUAGUGAGUUACCCAGCAAAACUGACAAUACUCUACCAAACCAGGAGCCAAGUAUAUUUACACACUACCAGCCGCUGAUAUUACUAUUAAAAGGAUAUUUCACUGCCUGGUGGAAGGUUUUCACUCUUUAGCCAGCACACAUCAAAGGAGUUGUCGAUGGGAAGUGUAUUUGGCCGUCACAUACGAACAAAAUAAUGAGAUGCAACGUAAAAUGAGAGCUACUGAUCGCCAGGGCGGCUGUUACAAGCAGCUGACUCUGUAUGAACUUGAGGAAUUUGUGCUAAAAUGUAAAAAUGUUCUACCAAAGUGAAAUAUCUCCUCAGAGGUUUUGAAGGGAAGCUUGUUUUUUUCUCCACAUUUCGGUUGCUGAUUUUCAAGCACCUCAGACCAGACGUUUUGUCGUUUUAAUGCUUUUCCGUGCCAAGCUAUGGACACACAGUCAUCACAUACAUAACAUAUGUGCUGUCCAGAAUUUGGCACAGAAAAAUGCCGGUCUGAGCUGGUUGAAUCAGGAUCUCUUCCUCUCCUCAACAUCUCUUUCCUCUUCUUUCCUCCCAUCUCUAACUACAGCAUUUUUCAUCUCCAAUUUCUACCUCUACACUUCAGUUUCUUUCUUCCAUAAUUUCCUCUUUUCAUACAUUAUCUUGUACAUUGACAUCAGCGUUGUGGCCCUAAACGGCUGUAUAAUUUAAAAAAAAGAAAAAAAAACAAGCUAUAACUGAUUCCUUUCUUUUUUUAAAAUAAAAUGUUGCACAAACAAACUUCCCUGCACGGUGCAAACUACUGUAUGCAUACACACGUCUUUAACUAUCAUCUCAUUGUCUUUUUAUUUUGUGUCUUUUUUUUUAAGGAAAAACAAAUCUUGUUCACUCAUGUAAUAUAGAGAGAUCAGACCCACUUGUUUUAUAUAUGUUAAUUUUUUUCUGUAAAGCCUUAGUCCUCGUAUUUGAUUUUAUUUUUGUAGAUAUGAUUAAAAAAAAGGAUGUAUAAAUUAUUUUCUUCUCCCUUGUUUUUAAAAUUGGUGAGAUUGUUUAGCUGCACAGAAGGAAAAGAGAGCUCAUGUCUCAGAUUCAUGUGUUUUGUGAGAUUAAAAAGAAACUGGAUAAAGGAA